rnacentral:rRNA from 1 species
CAAGUCGAGGGGCAGCAUGAACUUAGCUUGCUAAGUUUGAUGGCGACCGGCGCACGGGUGAGUAACACGUAUCCAACCUGCCGAUGACUCGGGGAUAGCCUUUCGAAAGAAAGAUUAAUACCCGAUAGCAUAAUGAUUCCGCAUGGUUUCAUUAUUAAAGGAUUCCGGUAAAGGAUGGGGAUGCGUUCCAUUAGGCAGUUGGCGGGGUAACGGCCCACCAAACCAACGAUGGAUAGGGGUUCUGAGAGGAAGGUCCCCCACAUUGGAACUGAGACACGGUCCAAACUCC